GUUAGGUUUUUUGUUAUAUGAGCUUGGUGCUAAGAUUCAGUUUCCUGUUUUGCUUUACUGUGACAAUAUUAGCACCACUUACAUGGCCUCUAACCCUGUGUUUCAUGCCCGCACUAAACACAUAGAGCUUGAUUCGGAAAGUUCACCUUAGGCAUAGAUCCUACAGGUCCUGGACAGCUUUUUAUUUGGAAGGAAAAUGCACCAUAUGUGAGGAGUACUUUAUACAUUGGCAAGCAGACCAACACAGCCUUUGCUGUUGAUGGUGAAAAUGCUCCACCGACAAAUGGAACUGCCUAUUUCCUCAUUUACAACUUUGAUGCUGAUGAGGUCUAUUUCACUUAUGGUGUUUCAGAUAGCUCAGUAAAGAUGAGGGUCAAGUUGAAUCCAAAUGGCAGGAUGAGGUGCUGCUAUGGUUGGAUUACAGCAAAACAUGGUUUUCAUGGUGGAAGCUGCCUGUUGAUAACUGCGAUUUUUAUGCUCGUUGCGGUCCCUAUGGAUCCUGUCACAAAAAUGAAAGCCUUACCCUCUCAUCACCAUGCAAGUGUUUGACAGGUUUUAGACCCAAGUUUCAGAAACAAUGGGCUAUGGGGGACUGGUCAGGUGGCUGUGUUAGGGAAACGCAAUUGAUAUGUAAUAAUCAAACAGAAGGCUACUAUGCAAAGUUUGAAAGGUUGAAACUACCUGAUCAUUCUGUGCUGUUAGACAAUAGGAGUAUCAGUGAGUGUAAAACUCAGUGUAAUCAGAACUGUUCUUGUACAGCUUUUGCUCAUGUUAAUUCAACCGAGGGAAGUAGUGCUGGGAAAUGCUUGUCAUGGUUUGGUGACUUAAUGGAUGUUGUAGAGAAUCAAACUCUUGGCCAAAAUAUUUAUCUUCGCAUUCAUAGCCUACAGCAAGGAGUCAUCAUGUUAAUUCCUUGAGGAGGUCCUUUGUAAUUGUAGCAGUCACAGCAACAGCAGGGUUGAUCAUAGUAACUUUUGGCUAUUUCAUGUGGAAGAAAACUUGGGGAAAGGGAAGGGAGAAUAGUGAGACUAUAAGGAGUGGUAAUGCUGGAAGUGGACACAAUGAUAUUGAACUUCCCCUCUUUAGUUUGAAGAGUAUAUUAGCUGCUACAAACAACUUUACUGAAUCUAAUAAGCUUGGAGAGGGAGGAUUUGGCCCUGUUUAUAAGGGUAUUUUGCCAGUGAAUCAAGAAGUAGCCAUGAAAAGGCUAUCAAAAAGUCCGGGCAAGGACAAGAAGAAUUCAUGAAUGAGUUGCAGCUUAUAGCCAAACUCCAACAUACCAAUCUUGUUAGGCUCUUGGGUUGCUGUGUUGAAGAGGAAGAAAUGAUACUGAUUUAUGAGUACAUGCCUAAUCGAAGUUUGGACAAAUUUUUGUUUGAUCCUUUUGAAAGUACGAAAUUGGAUUGGAGUAUACGAUUUCGAAUCAUAGAAGGUAUAGCUCAAGGAGUCCUUUAUAUCCACAAGUACUCUAGAUUGAAAAUUAUUCACAGGGAUCUGAAAGCAAGUAAUGUUCUAUUGGAUGAAGCAAUGAACCUUAAGAUAUCAGACUUUGGAAUGGCAAAGAUUUUCCAAAUGAUUCAAACUGAAGCAAAUACGAACAGGGUUGUUCGGACAUACGGCUACAUGUCACCAGAGUAUGCUCUAUACGGUCAUUUCUCUAAGAAAUCAGAUGCAUUUAGCUUUGGCGUUUUGCUACUAGAGAUUGUUUCUGGAAAGAAAAACUCUUCUUUUUAUCGUUUAGAACAUUCACUAACGCUUUCUGGAUGGGCCUGGGAGUUAUGGAGAGGAGGCAGAGGAAUGGAGGUGAUCGAUGCAUCAGUAAGGGAAACAUGCCGAACUCAUGAAGCAAUGAGGUGUAUCCAUGUAGGGCUUUUGUGUGUUCAGGAAGCUCCAGCUGAUCGACCACCAAUGUCAUCUGUAAUUCAUAUGCUACAGGGUAAUGAAGCUACCUCCCUACAACCUGUUAAAGAACCUGGGUUUUCAGCACAUAUGUAUUCUAGUCCUGUUGACUCUUCUCCAGCAUCUACAAUGCUUUCCAACAAUGCAGUGACUAUUACUUUGCCAGAGGCUGCAGUGGUAGAGCAUAACCGGAAUUGUAUACAUAUCUACAUAAGUCGUUGGCAUAUAACACUUCGCUAUGCUGCUGGUAUGCUCGAUGAGUUUGCUCCUGAAAGUAAUGGUUCUAGCAACCCAAUGCUUUCCCUUUUCUUCUUGUGCCUAUAUCUCACUUCUUCUAUCUCCCUUGCAGCUGACUCCAUCACUACAAGCCAAUCUCUUUCUGGUGAUCAAACCAUUGUUUCAGCAGGUGGGGUUUUUGAAUUGGGUUUUUUCCAACCAGGUAAUGUUUCAAACUUCUACAUAGGCAUGUGGUACAAGCAAGUAUCACAGAAAACCAUAGUCUGGGUGGCAAAUAGGGAACAACCAGUCUUUGAUAUAUUUUCCUCAUUAUUGAAGAUCUCAGAUGGUAAUUUAGUACUCUUUGAUGAGUCCAACACUCCAAUUUGGUCUACAAAUGUGGCCUCCAACAUCACCUUAGGCACUUCUAUACAAGCUGUUCUUUUAGAUGAUGGAAACUUUGUCUUAAGACCCGAGUCUGGUUCCUCCCACCCUUUAUGGCAAAGUUUUGAUCAUCCAUCCCAUACUUUUCUACCAGGAAGUAAAUUGGGAUUCAACAGAGUUACCAAACAAAGCCAGAUGCUUAUUUCAUGGAAAAAUUCAGAGGAUCCUUCACCGGGUCAAUUCUCACUUGAGGUAGACCCAACAAGCAACUCAUAUAUCAUAAAGUGGAAUAGGUCUAAACAUACUUCUAUCUCCCUUGCAGCUGACUCCAUCACUACAAUCCAAUCUCUAUCUGGUGAUCAAACCAUUGUUUCAGCAGGUGGGGUUUUUCAAUUGGGUUUCUUCACACCAGGUACUGCUUCAAACUUCUACAUAGGCAUGUGGUACACGCAAGUAUCAGAGCGAACCAUAGUCUGGGUGGCAAAUAGGGAACAACCUGUCUUUGAUAUAUUUUCUUCAGUAUUGAAGAUCUCAGAUGGUAAUUUAGUACUCUAUGAUGAGUCCAACACUCCAAUUUGGUCUACAAAUGUGGCCUCCAACAUCACCUUAGGCACUUCUAUACAAGCUGUUCUUUUAGAUGAUGGAAACUUUGUCUUAAGACCCGAGUCUGGUUCCUCCCACCCUUUAUGGCAAAGUUUUGAUCAUCCAUCCCAUACUUUUCUACCAGGAAGUAAAUUGGGAUUCAACAGAGUUACCAAACAAAGCCAGAUGCUUAUUUCAUGGAAAAAUUCAGAGGAUCCUUCACCGGGUCAAUUCUCACUUGAGCCAAGACAAUCUAGUAUCAGUGCAAACCACACCUUGAUUUCUUCCUCUGAAAUCUUUGCAUUUGGCUUCUUUAGUCCUGAGAAUUCUAGUAAACACUUCCUUGGUAUAUGCGGUGAUGGAAAUCUCGUAGUAUUGGAUGAGACUAGAAAUGUUAUCUGGUCAACUAAUGCAUCAUCAGUAUCUGCUUCUGCAAUGAGUAACACGACUGCUUUACUCUUGGAUACCGGGAACCUUGUAUUGAGAUUUGGAAAUCAAACCUUAUGGGAAAGCUUCAAUUAUCCCACUGAUACUGUGUUGCCUGGCAUGAAAAUUGGCUUUAACAAAAGGACUGGCCAGCAAUGGCUUGUUACAUCCUGGGCAGCAUCUGAUGAUCCGCAACCCGGAAAGUUCACAAGCGGCAUUGAUCCUAAAGUGCCUUGGCAGCUUCUUGCUUGGAAGGAAAAUGUUCCGUAUUGGAGAAGUGCUAUCUAUGGUGACAAUGGAGAUACAACAUUAUAUAGAGGUCCAGGUGGAGAAUUUUUCAGUAUUGAUGAUAGAUCCUUCUUUUAUCUUGCUUACACCAAUCAUGAUGAUGAGGCUUUUUUCACUGUUGGUGCCUCGGAUAAAUCAGUAAAACUGAUAACGGUUUUGAAGGCGUCUGGAAUGUUACUACUGCAGCUGUGGAAGGAAGACAAAGAAACAUGGAUUUCAACAUGGGGAGAACCUUUACAUACAUGUGAAUAUAUUGCUCGCUGUGGUCCAAAUGGUGCCUGUGAUAAAUAUGAAUCUGUGUCACCCUGCAAGUGUUUGACAGGCUUUACACCCAAAAUUCAGGAACAAUGGGAUGUGGGGAAUUGGGAAGGUGGCUGUAUUAGAGAAAAGAACUUGACAUGUGAUGAUCAUGAUGAAGGGUUCACAAAGUUUGAAAAGUUGAAACUGCCUGAUCAUUCUAUUAUGUUGUACAAGGGAAGCAUUAGUGAGUGUGAAUCCGAAUGCCUUUGGAACUGCUCUUGCACAGUGUAUGCUUAUAUGAAUGUGUCACAAUUUUCCCCUGGGAGAUGUUUCAAAUGGUUCGGUGACUUGAUGGAUCUUGUAGAGAAUCACACUCACGGGAAAGAUCUCUACAUUCGUGUUCGUCAACAUCAUUCCUAUCAAGGAAGCUUUGGAGGAAGUAAGAAUAUAACUAUAGGUCAUUUUAGUACUAGAGGUGAAAAGAGUGAUACAGAACUACCACUCUUCGAUUUGAGGUGUGUAUUGGCAGCUACAAACAACUUCUCUGAAGGUAAUAAGCUAGGUGAGGGAGGAUUUGGCCCUGUUUAUAAGGGGAUUUUCCCUGAAAAUCAAGAAGUAGCCAUAAAAAGACUAUCAAAGAAGUCUGGGCAAGGGCAUCAGGAGUUCUUAAAUGAGAUAAAGCUUAUAGCCAAACUCCAACACAACAAUCUUGUUAGGCUCUUGGGUUGUUGUGUUGAAGAGGAGGAAAUGAUAUUAAUCUAUGAGUUCAUGCCCAAUCGAAGUUUGGACAAAUUUUUGUUUGAUCCAUCUGAACAGUCGAAAUUGGAUUGGGAUAAACGAUUCAGAAUCAUAGAAGGUAUUGCUCAAGGAGUACUUUAUAUCCACAAGUACUCUAGGCUAAAAAUCAUUCACCAGGAUCUAAAAGCAAGUAAUGUUCUGUUGGAUGAAGAAAUGAACCCUAAAGUUUCAGACUUUGGGAUGGCAAGGAUUUUUGGUGUGAACCAAACUGAAGCAAAUACCAACAGGGUUGUUGGAACAUACGGUUACAUGUCACCUAAAUAUGCACGUUAUGGCCAUUUCUCAGAGAAAUCGGAUGUAUUUAGCUUUGGAGUGCUGUUAUUGGAGAUUGUAAGUGGAAGGAAGAAUGGUUCUAUUCAUUACUCUGAAGAUUCACCAACUCUUGCUCAAUGGGCCUGGAAAUCAUGGAAAGAAGGCAGAGGAAUCAAAGUGGUUGAUGCAUCAGUGAGAGAAAUAAGCCAGUCUCAAGAAGCUUUAAAAUGUAUCCAAGUAGGCCUUUUAUGUGUUCAAGAAGCUCCCGCAGAUCGACCAACAAGGGCUACUGUUAUUCUUAUGUUUCAGGGCAACGAAGCUACUACACUUCCACCUUCUAAAGAACCUGCAUUUUCAACACACUCCCAAGGAUUUUGGUUCUCCUUCUUCUCAAAUAUCUACCAUUUUGUCUAA